rnacentral:rRNA from 1 species
UACAGAGGGUGCAAGCGUUGUUCGGAAUCAUUGGGCGUAAAGAGCGUGUAGGCGGCCAGGUAGGUCAGCUGUGAAAACUCGAGGCUCAACCUCGAGACGCCGGUUGAAACCAUCUGGCUAGAGUCCGGAAGAGGAGAGUGGAAUUCCUGGUGUAGCGGUGAAAUGCGCAGAUAUCAGGAAGAACACCCGUGGCUAAGGCGGCUCUCUAGUACGGUACUGACGCUGAGGCGCGAAAGCGUGGGGAGCGAACAGG